CCUAAAGAAAAAACCUUCGUUCCAUGGGCGAAAAAAUGGACGCUGUCAUCGUUAUAUCCGACGAUGACAUCAGUGACGAAGACAGUGCGAACGACGGAGAUGACAGUGAGGAAAAUAAACAAAGCACAGAGGUACGAGAGGAACUUGCAUGUAAUGACCGACUCGCACUCGAUUUCGAGCGGGAUAUGGAAAUGGCUAUCAAAUUAAGUUUGCAGAGUAUGGCCGAAUCAUCCAGUUCCUCAACAGAGCCGAAAAAACUUUCCAAGAGGGCUUCAAUGAACAACAGAACAUGGUGCAACAUUCGCCAGGAGAAACAUAACUCAAAACACAAGUCGGCAAGCUCGACGGACCAGAUACGCACACCCACGAUUAUCGACGAAUCUGACGACCUACCUGACCUUGACAGUAACGAGGAGUGUAUAUUUGUCCAGGUGUUCGAGGAAGAAAUAAAUGAUGACAGUGAUUGUAUGAUUGUGGACGAGUGGGAUGCAGGUAGUCCAACGAAAAACUCAAACGUAGGCAAACCUGUUAACAAUGACUGUACAAGGUCGGCGUUUACUUCUCUUAACAAUAAACGCAAGUUGGAGAAUAAAAAUUAUACUCCAGGAAAGGAUCUUAUCGAAGGAACUUCUUCAGACAAAAUAGAAAAAUCAGUAACUAGCAAAAAAUUGGACUUCACAGAAACAAUUUGUGAAAAAACUGAAAGCAGUCAGAAGAACGAAGGCUGUAGAAAAUUUCCAGUUUUGUCGUCUGAAGGUCGAGCCAAAUUAGCGAACAUUUUAAAAACUGUCAACCCCAAGAGCCUACAGAAAUCCAAAAGUGUGGAACAGGCGAGUAAAGAGGACAGUGCUUCAGGAAGUCCUAAAACCCAGGAUAAAUGGUCAUUCACCAUAGAACGACACUUUUCUGACAUCCUAAGCGGAGGUUCACCCCAGGGGAAAACAACAAGCGAGGAAAACUCACCGGAAAAAAUUCAUUCCCCGAGCUACCUAUCUCCUCCCAAACUCUCUAAUGGAUCAUUCCAACCUAUCACCUCUAGUCCAAUGCGGGAACACCCACCAGUCCUAGAACCGGAGAUUACCAAACCAAGCGCAUUCUCAAACUACAGACCUUCAAAAUCACCUGGAACAUCUCCAACUCCAUCAAAACGUCUCAAGCUAGGCAGAUGUGUUAGUGCUACUACCACUGUGAAAAAUAAUUAUGAAAUUGUUAAUAUGAGAUUAGGUAAAUCUUUAUCCUUAGAAUCAGAUGUACCUAAAGGUCGAACGAUACGAACAUCAAGUGACAUUGUGUUGAAUUCUUGGAACUCUAAACGUUCGGAUGUCCGGAAUUUCUUCAAACCAAUCCCGUCAUCAUCUUCUGUAGCUGAUACGCCAACUUUAUCUACAAGGACACUGAAAGACUGGCAGAACCUGAGGCCGUUUAAUGUUGAGUUCCCAACUAAAGCGGGCCUUGAGGAUUCUCUGUCCAUGAAAUUAUCAAAGAUGCAUAUUGACACCAUAGGUGUGUGUUUUGAGGAAGAAGGACCGUAUUGCCUGCGUCACGCCAUUAAAUUCACUCACGAUUUUUCUCUGAAAUACAUUCCAACUGUUGACAUUGUUAAGCAGCUAUUGUUCAAGGGGAUUUUAGAAAAUAAUCAAGUGGAUUUAAUGUUCAGUUCGUACCGAACACUCCGACUGAUUCAGCAGAAAUAUCCGGGAACCCUCCAGAUCGACUGGGACACCCUCAAACUCGUAAUUGACAGCGUAAACCUCGGCCUCGGUUUCGUAAAACAGGAUAUGGUCGUCCUUCUGAGAACUAGUCUGUUUCUCCAGCUGACGGUCGCGUGCUAUGGAGAUGAACUGUAUAACUGUGACGUGGUUGACCCUAAGGGUCUACGUCAGUCCAUGGCGUAUAAAAGUCUGACGUUCGACAGUGCGUCGUACACUGGGGGUGUCAAACAACUCACCAACUGGAUCGUCUGUUGUCUCACAUACGGGGAAUUCCAGGAAGUUCAGGAAAUUUCCUCACCUUUUUUUCGCGAAAGAAAUCAAGACAUACAUCCAAAUCAGACAGAAGACGUGAUUCUACGACAGGAAGUUCGUAAAAUUCUACCACUGCUGCAAAGACUUCUAAAAAUAGCGAUAGAAAUAAACCUGAGUUGUUCGGAUUGUGCAAGAACUUGUGCGUCCGAGCUUAUCAAGAGCUUUGUUUACCUGAGUCUAGGGUACAAGAAACUGCUGCUACAGACGAUGCAGUCAAGUCUGUUGCAGUUCAAACUCGUGUCACUGAUGUUGGAGAAUUACUGUGACUGUGAUGCAUUCUCCUACUACGAGUUCCCAUCAAGUGUGAGAGAUGUAGUCGAGAAUUUAUUACAGGCCCAGCCCCCUAGGAUGAUGAACACGCCUCCUACUACCCCGCAGUCCGAGGAGGAAGAGGGGGGUGGGGAUGGUGUGGGGAGAUUUGUACCGAAGGUGUCCUCUGUAGCAGUGGAAGAGCUGGCUAUGUUGCAGUAUUACGCCUUGAAAAGUUACUUACAAUGUUCUAAAGCUAAAAGCCAUGUUCCACUGAGGAUCAGAGUUAAGUUACCGGAGAAAGAAUUCGGCAGUCUGUCUCCCGAGAGUAUGAAAGAGCUAGAGAAGCUACCUAGUCAUAUAGAGGAACUACGAGGCCUCUAUCUACAACUUGCCAUCGAACUCACAGCAGAUACGGAGAAAUAUCUGAUGAUGAUGCUCUGUUUGAAGGACACGACAGUCAAACACUGAAAGUUCCCUUGUUAUCGAUACUACACAGGCUACCCAGAAAACACACGAAGAACAGCUACAAAACAAUUAUUUACUACCGAAUGGCAUAGGCUGUCAAGAAAGUAUGUGAAGAACAGCCAAUCUGCGAUUACUAGUCAUUGAUUUCACUCUGGUUAGGACAUGCAUGAUUGUUGGUCGAUGACGACAAAUUUGCAGUCGUUGAUGACGGAUUUGCAGUCUAGAGGACAUCAGUCGAUGACCUGAUAUUUGUAAUCUAGAGGACCAUGUACCACUGUCAGCCGAUGACCACGGAAUUGUAGUCUAGAGGUCGACGUACCACUGUCAGCCGAUGACCUGGGAUUUGUAGUCUAGAGGACCACGUACCACUGUCAGCCGAUGACCUGAUAUUUGUAGUCUAGAGGAUGUACCACUGUCAGCCGAUGACCUGGGAUUUGUAGUCUAGAGGACUGCGUACCACUGUCAGUCGAUGACCAUGGAAUUGUAGUCUGGAGGUCGACGUACCACUGUCAGCCGAUGACCUGGGAUUUGUAGUCUAGAGGACGUACCACUGUCAGUCGAUGACCUGGGAUUUGUAGUCUAGAGGAACGCCAUUGAUAGUACAUCUGUACCGACAUCAUUGUCUUGUUACACCCAGAUUCUAGUAAUAUUUCAUACCUACAUAUGUAUACAUAUACAUAUAACCUCCUUGGUCAUAUUUGUACCUAUUGUACCAACAUGUUAAAUAGCGACCCCGAUAGAGAGAGGUUUCGUGGACUAGUCACUGAAUACAGAGCUUGUGAUUAUUUGACUGUUAUGUAUGUUACGGUUUAAUUUAUAAAUUUCAUUUUAAGUUAUUGGAGAAGUGGGAGAUUUCACAUUUCAUUCAUAUUCAUUUUUUCUAAUUAAUAUGUGUUGUAUAUGUAGAGAUAAUGCAGUGUGUGGAUUGUCAUGGUGAGGAGAGUAUGUAGUGCGUUAGUUGUCAUGGUAACAAGAAUCAUAACAGGAUGUGGGUUGUCAUGGUAAUGCGACUCGUAUUAGUAUGUGGGUUGUCAUGGUAAUGAUAAUCAUAUAUUAGUGUGUGGGAUGUCAUGGUAAUGAUCGAGAAUCAUAUAUUAGUGUGUGGGUUGUCAUGGUAAUGAGAAUCAUAUAUUAGUGUGUGGGUUGUCAUGGUAAUGAGAAUCAUAUAUUAGUGUGUGGGUUGUCAUGGUAAUGAGAAUCAUAUAUUAGUGUGUGGGUUGUCAUUGUGAAGAGAAUCAUAUAUUAGUGUGUGGGUUGUCAUGGUAAUGAUAAUCAUAUAUUAGUGUGUGGGUUGUCAUUGUGAAGAGAAUCAUAUAUUAGUGUGUGGGAUGUCAUGGUAAUGAUCGAGAAUCAUAUAUUAGUAUGUGGGUUGUCAUGGUAAUGAGAAUCAUAUAUUAGUGUGUGGGUUGUCAUGGUAAUGAGAAUCAUAUAUUAGUGUGUGGGUUGUCAUGGUAAUAAGAAUCAUAUAUUAGUGUGUGGGUUGUCAUUGUGAAGAGAAUCAUAUAUUAGUGUGUGGGUUGUCAUGGUAAUGAGAAUCAUAUAUUAGUGUGUGGGUUGUCAUGGUAAUGAAAAUCAUAUAUUAGUGUGUGGGUUGUCAUGGUAAUGAAAAUCAUAUAUUAGUGUGUGGGUUGUCAUGGUAAUGAUCGAGAAUCAUAUAUUAGUGUGUGGGUUGUCAUUGUGAAGAGAAUCAUAUAUUAGUGUGUGGGUUGUCAUGGUAAUGAUUGAGAAUCAUAUAUUAGUGUGUGGGUUGUCAUGGUUAAGAGAAUCAUAUAUUAGUGUGUGGGUUGUCAUGGUAAUGAAAAUCAUAUAUUAUGUGUGGGUUGUCAUGGUUAAGAGAAUCAUAUAUUAGUGUGUGGGUUGUCAUGGUAAUGAUCGAGAAUCAUAUAUUAGUGUGUGGGUUGUCAUUGUGAAGAGAAUCAUAUAUUAGUGUGUGGGUUGUCAUGGUAAUGAUAAUCAUAUAUUAGUGUGUGGGAUGUCAUGGUAAUGAUCGAGAAUCAUAUAUUAGUGUGUGGGUUGUCAUGGUAAUGAGAAUCAUAUGUUAGUGUGUGGGUUGUCAUUGUGAAGAGAAUCAUAUAUUAGUGUGUGGGUUGUCAUGGUAAUGAGAAUCAUAUAUUAGUGUGUGGGUUGUCAUUGUUAAGAGAAUCAUAUAUUAGUGUGUGGGUUGUCAUGGUAAUGAAAAUCAUAUAUUAUGUGUGGGUUGUCAUGGUUAAGAGAAUCAUAUAUUAGUAUGUGGGUUGUCAUGGUAAUGAGACUCAACUGUUGAUGGGUUGUCAUGGUAACGAAAAUUAUAUUGUGUAACAUGAACUGUUUGUGUGUUUUUUCCUCCAUAGUUCAGAGCAAUCAAACUAUUUCAUGGUACAAACCUUUGUGGUUAGCCCAUUAGAAAUAUUUGUUGUUUUAUAUUCGUAGCAACCAUAAAAACAACGAAAGGUCAAACACAACAAACGUUUCAUGUUACACAGUAAAAGUGUGAGUUGUCAUCUUAGCUUAAGUCAUAAUAUUGAGUGGGUUGUCAUGGUAAGAAGAAUAUAGAGUUUUGCUUGUUGUGAUAAGGGGACUAUUUUGUGUGGGUUGUCAUAGUAACGAGUCAUGGUAGUGUGCCGGUUGUCAUAGUAACGAGAAUUGGGAUACUGUGUUUGAUCUGUUCCCUGGAUGAAGCUUUAUAGCUGUCAUGUGAUUAAGAGAUGCUGUACUGUGAUCCAUACCUAUGUUGUAUACUUUCGUAUUUCAGGCAAAGUAACAUUUUCUACACCCCCAUUCCAUCUAGAUUGAUUCCAUUUAGAAUGUACCACAUCAAGUGGCACAUACAGAAGGGUUUUUAUAAACUUUUUUUUUCUAUGUGCGUCAGUUGAAUGUAUAUUUUUGGAGAAAUUUAAUAUUUUGUUUAUUUUAUUGGCCUCAUAACAUAACUUACAAGUUCCUAAAAUGUCUAAACUUAAUUGCUGACAGUACUCGAAUUUGCGUUGUGCUGAUUGUGUUCGUAGUCACGUGUUGGUAAAUAGCUUUUGUUAACAGUACUCAAGUUUGCGUUAUGCUGAUUGUGUUCAUAGUCACAUGUCGUUUAGCUUUCGUUAACAGUACUCAAGUUUGCGUUACGUUGAUUGUGAUUAUAGUCAUAUGUCAGUUAGCUUUCGUUGACAGUUCAUGUGUUUGCGGUAUGCUGAUUGUGUUCGUAUAAUCACAUCUUGGUAAGCUUUCGUUGGCAGUACUGGAGUUUGCGGUACGCUGAUUGUGUUCAUAAUCACAUGUUAGUAAGCUUUCAUUGACAGUUCUUGUGUUUACGGUAUGCUAAUUGUGUUCGUAUAGUCACAUCUUGGUAAGCUUUCGUUGACAGUACUUGAGUUUGCAGUAUGUUGAUAUUGUUCGUAGUCAUGUGGUGGUAACGUUUUGUUGACAGUACUCGAGUUUGCAAUAUGCUUAUUUUGUUCAUAGUCACAUGUUGUAAAUUGCACUUUGUACUCUUUUCUUGCUUUCCUUGUAAUUUUUGCAGUGUUAACAUGUUGUUAUACCCUGCCUGACACGUAGUCCCACUUUUACAUAACGGCAGACAAGUUGUCUCCCAGGUUGAUGUAUGAAUUGUACCUGUUUCCUUUGUUUACCUGUUGAUUUCUCACCGGUUUUCUCACAUGUCUAAUUUAUGACAAAGUUAAAAAAACAAUGGUUUUAUGUUGUUAUUGAACAAAGCCACUCGCCAUAUUCAUCUGUCAAUUAACCCGUGCUUGGUAAUUGUAUAAUAGCUUGAAUUGUCAUGUCUACAUUUCAGUAAAACACUUUGUCUGGCAAAGCCAUGUUGAGUCGAUAUGUUUGGUAUAAAAAAUAGAUAUGGUACAUUUGUUUUAAAGGUUUAUUAGAUAAGUACGGUACACUGGUGUUAGAGGUUUACAGGAUAAGUACGGUACACUGGUGUUACAGGUUUACGGGAUAAGUACGGUACACUGGUGUUAGAGGUUUACAGGAUAAGUACGGUACACUGGUGUUAGAGGUUUACAGGAUAAGUACGGUACACUGAUGAUACAGGUUUACGGGAUAAGUACGGUACACUGGUGUUAGAGGUUUACAGGAUAAGUACGGUACACUGGUGUUAGAGGUUUACAGGAUAAGUACGGUACACUGAUGAUACAGGUUUACAGGAUAAGUACGGUACACUGGUGUUAGAGGUUUACAGGAUAAGUACGGUACACUGAUGAUACAGGUUUACGGGAUAAGUACGGUACACUGGUGUUAGAGGUUUACAGGAUAAGUACGGUACACUGGUGUUAGAGGUUUACAGGAUAAGUACGGUACACUGGUGUUAGAGGUUUACAGGAUAAGUACGGUACACUGGUGUCAGAGGUUUACGGCAUUAGUACGGUACACUGAUGUUAGAGGUUUACAGGAUAAGUACGGUACACUGAUGAUACAGGUUUACGGGAUAAGUAUGGUACACUGAUGAUACAGGUUUACGGGAUAAGUACGGUACACUGGUGUUAGAGGUUUACAGGAUAAGUACGGUACACUGAUGUUAGAGGUUUACGGGAUAAGUACGGUACACUGGUGUUAGAGGUUUACAGGAUAAGUACGGUACACUGGUGUAAGAGGUUUACGGCAUUAGUACGGUACACUGAUGAUACAGGUUGAUGAGAUAAGUACGGUACACUGGUGUUAAAGGUUUUAUGGGAUAAGUACGGUACACUAAUUGUACAGGUUUACAGAAUAAUUACGGUACACUGGUGUUAGAGGUUUACAGGAUAAGUACGAUACACUGAUGAUACAGGUUUAUGGGAUAAGUACGGUACACUGAUGAUACAGGUUUAUGGGAUAAGUACGGUACACUGAUGAUACAGGUUUACAGGAUAAGUACGAUACACUGAUGAUACAGGUUUAUGGGAUAAGUAUGGUACACUGAUGAUACAGGUUUAUGGGAUAAGUACGGUACACUGAUGAUACAGGUUUAUGGGAUAAGUACGGUACACUGAUGAUACAGGUUUAUGGGAUAAGUACGGUACACUGAUUGUACAGGUUUACAGGAUAAUUACGGUACACUGGUGUAAGAGGUUUACAGGAUAAGUACGGUACCACCUUGAGAAAUAUACAGACAGUUUUGCCCUGUUGACAGUUGUCAGUUCCUGUCUUCAUUUAUAAAAGGUGUAUGUGAUUAUUUUUUUUUUACUUUUGUAUAUAUGUUGACAGUCACAGUGUUCAUGUAUGAUGAAGUAUGCUAUGAUGUUGUUCAGUUUCAUUAGUGUUUUAAUAAUUUGAAUUAUUGAAGUUGUCCUAUACAUAUGUACAUAGACCAAAAAGAUAUGUUGAUUUUGUGCAAAAUUUUCAUAUUGAUAUCAUGCAGCUGAGAUGGGUAGGUCCUGACAAAGAAAUAUUAUCAAGACUCUUGUUGAAGUUGGGGUCAAGUUUUGUUUUAAAUGAUUACAUACUUGCUAAAGUUAACAUCUGAAGAUGUAAUUAUGGAACUAACAACAAGCAUGAAAAUGGAUGAGGUAUAGAGAAAUUAACAAGUUUGAUGUAAUUUUUAUCUUUCUUGGGGGAUGAGAUAGGUGACCUCCACCUCACAACAUUUUCCAAGGGGGCUAAGGGGCUUGGCCUGAUGGGGAAAGAGAAAUGGCGUGGCUUCCACUUUUCCAAGGGGGCUGAGGGGCUUGGCCUGAUGGGGGAAGAGAAAUGGCGUGGCUUUCCCUUUUCCAAGGGGGCUAAGGGGCUUGGCCUUAUGAGGGAAGAGAAAUGGCGUGGCUUCCCCUUUUCCAAGGGGGCUGAGGGGCUGGGCCUUAUGAGGGAAGAGAAAUGGCGUGGCUUCCCCUUUUCCAAGGGGGCUGAGGGGCUUGGCCUGAUGGGGGAAGAGAAAUGGCGUGGCUUCCCCUUUUUCAAGGGGGCUAAGGGGCUUGGCCUGAUGGGGGAAGAGAAAUGGCGUAGCUUCCCCUUUUCCAAGGGGGCUGAGGGGCUGGGCCUUAUGAGGGAAGAGAAAUGGCGUGGCUUCCCCUUUUCCAAGGGGGCUGAGGGGCUUGGCCUGAUGGGGGAAGAGAAAUGGCGUGGCUUCCCUUUUUCCAAGGGGGCUGAGGGGCUGGGCCUUAUGAGAGAAGAGAAAUGGCGUGGCUUCCCCUUUCCAUGGAGGCUGAAGGGCUUGGCCUUAUGAGGGAAGCAUAGCAAAUUCUUUAAAAUCAUUUUUCUUCUGAAGAUCGGAAAACAUUUAGUCCAUAUUUGAUCUGAAAGUCCUUGAAUAAAGGGGAACGAAUUGGGUAUAAAUGAGGUUCCCAUCCCGCCAUCUUUGAAAGGAAGUUCUUUAAAAUCCCUUUGUAAAAAUAAUGGGAUUUUGUGCAAAUAUGGUAAAGCACCCUUGGAGGAAAGAAAUAGAGGGGUAGGCAUCUAUGAGGAAAGAAAUAGAGGGGUAGGCAUAGCAAAUUCUGUGAAAUCCUUAUUUUAUGAUGUAUUCUCUGGUAUCAGAAUAUUUAUCGGGUUUCAUAGCAUGUUCUCACGGCAGUAUUGGCUAUAAACGAUCCUGGACUCUACAUACUAAUGUUUAUAUAAAUCUUAUUUAGGUUUCUGGAUUCAUGUUUAAUUUGUAACAGUGCUUUUUGUUGAUUUUCAGUGAAAUACUUAAAUGUUGUUUUUUGUGGUCGAAUGUUUUAUGUGGACGUUAAUUAUCACUGAUUUCUUGACUCUGCAGUGACAUAACUAAUGAUUUUGUUUGAGGGUUAAUUUCCAGGUUGGACAGUGACAUAACUUACUGUUGAAUGAUUUAGUUUGAGGAUUUAUUUCAAGGUCAGAUACGGCUAUUAUAUAUUGCUUAACUUGAACUUAAACACGAAAUUAUAUUGUUGUUGAAUCAUGAAGAAAAUUAUAUGAAUGUUAAAAUUGAUUAUAAUCUUGUUUUGUAAUCUAUAAUAUAGAUGACAUAUUUUGAAAGCUCUGGUUUGUAUUUAUAAUACAUUGAUUAUGUUUGUAUCGUUAUACUAAAAUGCCUGUGUUGACUUAAGUCCAAUUGCACUUCAUGAGAAGCUCAACAAAUGGCUGAAAAGCUUAAUUUUCAAAAUGGAAUGUUUGAGUGGUACUCCCGGACAUUUGCUUUUUUGCCUAUAAAUGCGUGCCCAUUUUAAAGCAAUAUUGUCUAGAUUAAGAUUUAAUUGUAUAUGGAAUUUAAAAAAAAUUUAAAAUGAAAGAACGGUUUAUAUCAUGCAGUUGUCAAUUUAAAGUACAUGUAGGGCCCAGCUUUGGGUUAUACAGAUAUGAUUGACAGCUCCUUUAUCAACAGAGAAUACUAGCUCAACCCACCUAUUGUUAAUAAGUGUGAAAAAUGUCGUACAUUUACCGACCAUGUUACAGAAGUAUGGAAUGGAAAUGCUAGUUUUAUAGAAAGUUUGGACUAUUGAACUACACAUCUGGAGUUGUGAAAUUACGUCAGUUUGAACAAAACUACCACCAUGACCUUGUCGAAAAUGUUCGCCUUAAAGUAUUUUAAAUCGAUGAAAAACGGUAUGAUUAAGUCUUAAAACAAGUAUCUAUGUGAUCAGGGAUUGAGCAUGUUCUAUUAAAUACAUAUACCAUUUCAACAGUUUUACUGGAAUUGGAAUCAAAAUUCGCCCCGUAUUGAUUUUACCAGACAUAUAAAUGUCUCUGAUUUUACUCUCAGUGGCAAGCACGAGUUACGUGGUGGUCCUACAAAGUGUUAAUUGAUUUUUGAGGUAGUUACGUAGUUUACAUCAAAUAAAAACUCAAUCCUUUGUUAUCGUAUGCAUCUUUUGUUUACAUUGUAAACAUUAUAAAAGGCUUAUAGGACGUAUCCCGUAUAUAUUCAGGAAACUUUUACACAGGUGAGGAUUUUCAUUGGUUAAAUCUCGAAUUCUGCUGAUAAGUCCGAAAUGGUUGAAAUGAUGAUUUGGUGCAGUAAAAAGAUUUACUUAUCCUUUAAGUAUCAACGAAUGAGAUAAAAAUGUCCACUUACAUUUCAUUUUGAAUUAUUUCCGCUUGUUGAGGUGCAAGUCUUGAUUCUAUAGUCGCUCAAUUUUGUAAUUUUACCACUGAUUUAUAGAUAUAUUCAUAUAUUUCCUUUAAUAAUUAUCAUACAGAACUUUUCUGGCAGCGAAAAAUUAACAUUUGCUUCUUGUUAUCCAAUUAUAUUAAAACUGAUAAGAUAAUCACUACUUUAUUUUUACAUUUUUGUAUGCUUAAUCAAUCAAACGUAUUCUGGAAAUGUAUACAUUUGUAGAAUAUUGAUGUGUAAAGGUACUCAUAAGUAGAAUGUAUAGAUGGAUGAAGCUAUUUUGUUUUUUCAUAUCUUGGAAAUUGUUAUACAUGUUUGAAUAUUGGAUAUUAAAUUUUUUAUCUAAGUGUUGAAA